GUUUAGUGAAACAGAGAGGUGUCUGUGGAAGACAGAAUAAAGGCCCCCAAAGAUGCCCAUGUCCUAACCCCAGAACCUGUAAACGUUGUCUCUUUGCUUUCCUGAUGGCAUCAUUUGCAGAACAAAAGUUUUAGCAUAUGAUACCAUUUUUCCCUCAAAGCACUGCAAAGAGAAAGCGCUGGUAACGGACACACCUGCCACUUUUUCUGUGGGACUCCCCCGUCUCAGAGCCAACUGCAGACGUGGCUCCAUGAGGAGGGCAAUUCAACUGUUCAGGAAGGAGGUGGGGUGUCGUAUCUCCACAGGCAGCACAGGGCGGACGGCUGCCACCUACCAGGAAAGGAGCAGAAGCCACCACAGACUCAGGCCUUUGAACAGCUGAUGAAGAGGGUGCAGUUCAUCAGUUCCAGCACAGUCUCCCCUGUGUCUCAAGGAGUCGGACAUGAGACUGAUCAGAGUGACAGCAAGAAGCAAAUAAGCUCAUUUGAAAAAAGGUAGAAAAGGGGGUUUUCCUAUAAUGCUCACUUAAAUCUGCCAUAAAUUAAAAGGGGUCAGUUGUAUUGCAUAAAAGUCUUUGGUGGUGAUGACUCUGCAGUGCAUACAGAUGUUGAAUUACAAUGAAACUUACAUAAUGUUAUGCACCAAUUAUAUGUAAUAUGGACCAACUUAUAUAUUGUUAUAUGCC